rnacentral:rRNA from 1 species
AUUGAACGCUGGCGGCAUGCCUUACACAUGCAAGUCGAACGGUAACGGGCCUUCGGGUGCCGACGAGUGGCGAACGGGUGAAUAAUGCAUCGGAACGUACCUUUCAGUGGGGGAUAACGUAGCGAAAGUUACGCUAAUACCGCAUAUUCUGUGAGCAGGAAAGCAGGGGAUCGCAAGACCUUGCGCUGAUUGAGCGGCCGAUGUCAGAUUAGCUAGUUGGUGAGGUAAAGGCUCACCAAGGCGACGAUCUGUAGCGGGUCUGAGAGGAUGAUCCGCCACACUGGAACUGAGACACGGUCCAGACUCCUACGGGAGGCAGCAGUGGGGAAUUUUGGACAAUGGGGGGCAACCCUGAUCCAGCCAUGCCGCGUGAGUGAAGAAGGCC